rnacentral:rRNA from 1 species
UGAGGAAUAUUGGACAAUGGGCGCAAGCCUGAUCCAGCCAUGCCGCGUGCAGGAAGAAGCAUCUAUGGUGUGUAAACUGCUUUUGUACGGGAAGAAACACUCCUACGUGUAGGAGCUUGACGGUACCGUAAGAAUAAGGAUCGGCUAACUCCGUGCCAGCAGCCGCGGUAAUACGGAGGAUCCAAGCGUUAUCCGGAAUCAUUGGGUUUAAAGGGUCCGUAGGCGGUUUAAUAAGUCAGUGGUGAAAGCCCAUCGCUCAACGAUGGAACGGCCAUUGAUACUGCUAGACUUGAAUUACAAGAAAGUAACUAGAAUAUGUAGUGUAGCGGUGAAAUGCUUAGAUAUUACAUGGAAUACCAAUUGCGAAGGCAGGUUACUACUUGUGGAUUGACGCUGAUGGACGAAAGCGUGGGGAGCGAACA